CUGUCCGCCUGGGACAGGCUAGCAUUUAACUGCUAAGGUCAUGGAUUUGAAGACAACACAAGACACGCCCACACAGAAGAUAAAUAAGAUUUUCAAGCAAAACAAGAUGUGGGAGUAAAGAAUCUUUGUAGGAGUGAAAGCGAGCAGCCUGACAAAGGAAAGGCCUACAAUGUAAUUAGUCUACAGCUAUCCACAGCAGAAGCCUGGAAUGACUGCAAACACUGAGAAUUGACAAUGUGUUGCAACAGAGCUGUGAGCUGAGCUGGAGAAGAAAGGGCCCCGAGAGCUUUAGCCCAUUCAUGGUGCCACAGAAGUUCAGUGGGAUGAAUCACAAAGAAAAGGUCAAAUUUUCAAGAAGCUCUCAGUGGACAUAUGGCAUUAAAAAAUAAGACGGAAAAA